rnacentral:tRNA from 1 species
GGGAGAGCGCCAGAGUCGGAGAACUGGGGCGGUCUGUAAAACCGUUGCCUGACGGCUGAGUGUGUUCGACUCACACCUCUCCCA